GAUCCUGGCUCAGGAUGAACGCUGGCGGCGUGCUUAACACAUGCAAGUCGAACGAGGAUUUAACGGAAUGCGAUUCGUCAAAUGAAAUUAAAUCCGAGUGGCGGACGGGUGAGUAACGCGUGGAUAACCUGCCUCACACAGGGGGACAACAGCCGGAAACGGCUGCUAAUACCGCAUAACACAAGUAAUUCGCAUGAAUAACUUGCCAAAGAUUUUAUCGGUGUGAGAUGGAUCCGCGU
rnacentral:rRNA from 1 species